GCCCCAAAAGAACUAGCAGAAUUUGCAAAUUUUCAAAAAUUCUCUAAAGAAAAUGAUGCCCACUGGUGUGUUAUAAGGAAGCCCCUGCACAAAGAAGAGAAGAAGAAUCAGAUUAUGAAGUACAUAAUUUACAGCCUGGGAUGAAGAGAAGACAAUCACUAGUAAUAAGAUUGACAUUUUAGUGGACUGGAUUAUUCACUCAUUUUCAAUUAAGUUUCCAUAUGGCAAAUUGAAGCUGACCCUGUUACAAUUAGAAAGCUACGUCGAAGGAAGGAGGCCAUAAAUAAUGUGAGAGAAAUUAUAUUUCAUGCAUUAUGUACUUAGACUUACUGAAAAAGAAAGGAAGAAA